rnacentral:rRNA from 1 species
AGUGAACGCUGGCGGUAGGCCUAACACAUGCAAGUCGAACGGCAGCACAGUAAGAGCUUGCUCUUACGGGUGGCGAGUGGCGGACGGGUGAGGAAUACAUCGGAAUCUACUUUUUCGUGGGGGAUAACGUAGGGAAACUUACGCUAAUACCGCAUACGACCUACGGGUGAAAGCAGGGGAUCUUCGGACCUUGCGCGAUUGAAUGAGGCGAUGUCGGAUUAGCUAGUUGGCGGGGUAAAGGCCCACCAAGGCGACGAUCCGUAGCUGGUCUGAGAGGAUGAUCAGCCACACUGGAACUGAGACACGGUCCAGACUCCUACGGGAGGCAGCAGUGGGGAAUAUUGGACAAUGGGCGCAAGCCUGAUCCAGCCAUACCGCGUGGGUGCAGAAGGCCUUCGGGUUGUAAAGCCCUUUUGUUGGGAAAGAAAAGCAGCAGGUUAAUCCCCCGCUGUUCUGACGGUACCCAAAGAAUAAGCACCGGCUAACUUCGUG